ACAGCUAACAGCAAUGUCUGGUCUUGAACAUCUGGCAAUGAAGUUUAGCUUGCCUAGCACACUCCUGUACAGUGUAGUGUCAGAAAAUGCUUCUUCAGUGUCAUCUACCUGAUAACCUGUUGUCAUCGGUGUGUCUACAGGGUUAGCAUCCAUCAGAUUUAGUUUGCUUAACACAUCAGCAAUUUUCCGUGACUGGUGUACUAGAAUGUUACCAUCUUGAUCUCUCUCUAUUUCCAGAGAUAGGUAGUUGUUUACCUCACCAAGAUCUUUCAUGUCAAAGUGCUCUUUCAGUUGAGCUAGGGCGCUAUUGUACAUUGCGACAUCUUUCCAAAAGAAUAAUAAAUCAUCAACAUAAAACAAACAGUACAGUUUCUUUUGCCCCUCCUCUUUGACAAAUACACAUGGAUCAGCUUUCCCUUGCUGAAAACCUAGAGAAAACAAUACUUCAGUGAGUUUUGUGUGCCAACACCGUGCACUUUGUUUGAGACCAUAAAGGGAUUUCUUCAGAGCACAAACAAAUCCCUGUUUUACCUGUAUGCCAUCAGGUGGAAGCAUAUAAAGUGAUUCAUCUAGAGAUCCGUACAGAAAAGCUGUAUUAAUAUCAUGGUGACUAAUGUGUAGAUUUUCCUCUGCAGCUAGCUUAAGCAUAAGCCUAAUGCUUUCAUAUCUCACUGUGGGUGAAUAGGUCUCGUGAUAGUCUUCACCUGGUACCUGUGCAAAACCUCUGGCUACCAAUCUGGCUUUGUGUCUGACUAUUUUGCCAUUUUGAUCUGUCUUCGCUUUGAAGACCCAUUUGCUUCCAAGCAGUUUCAUUCCUGGAACUACUGGAACUAGCUCCCAUGUUUUGUUCCUUUCUAAGGAAUCAAGCUCAGCCUUCAUGGCAUUUAACCAUGGCUCAGCUUCCUUCGAAUCCAAACCCUGGAUUUCUUGGAAACUUGAAGGUUCAAAUACCUUCUUGGAGCUUUUAACAGCUGUUACUGCUAUUUUAGCAAACUCAUCAGCAAAUCUCUUUGGAGGUUUGCCUUUUGUGGCUCUCUGUGACCUACGAAUUAGCCUUAAGUCUUCAACACUCUCCUCUUCCUUCUUAGGAGAAAAACGACCUAUUGUGAACAAUGGUUCCUCCAAUUCUUGAUCAGAGCUUUCAGAGGGUCGCAUAGAGGCUUUCGCACUCUUGAAAUCCUCUGAAUCACCCGAUUCAGUUUCAGAUUCAGACUCAGAACCUUCAUCAGUGGGUGUGGGCUGUUGUGGUUGCUUUUGACUAUCCUCAGUCUCAUCACCGUCAUCAGGAUAACAUUGGAAAAUUCCCACAUUCUCCCCCACUUUGCAUUGUACUCGACACUUCUCGUGAGCUUAAUUGUCUUAGAGUCAGUCAUCAUUAUUCUGUAAGACCCUUUCUGAUAACCUAGAAAGAUACCAUGCAAUCCACGCUUGUCUAACUUGGAGUUUUGUGGUGAGCGAACCCACAUGUCAGAACCAAAAAUCUUCAUGUGUUUGAUGUAUGGCUUCUUGCCAAACAUCUUCUCAUAGAGGUACAACCAAUCGCUGAAGAUAACCUGCGAUUGUAACUGUAAACAAAACACGAGAGAGAUUCGGCCCAAUAACUCUCUGGAAGAUUGGCAUCAUGCAGCAAGGUUUUUAAGCCUUGAAGCAAUGUCUGAUUUGCCCGUUCCGCAAGUCCAUUCUGCCAUGGCGAGCGAGGACUAGACAAAUCGUGUUGAAUUCCUUUCUCAGUCAGAAAAGCUUCAAACUGCUGAGAAGUGAAUUCCCCCCCGCGAUCACUGAAAAGAGUCUUUAUCUUCUUACCAUGCACAUUUUCCAACCAAGCACAGAAUUCCUUGAACCUAGGAAAAGCCUCCGAUUUCUGCUUGAGAUUGUACACAAAAAUAUAUCUAGAAAAUGCAUCAAUGAGAACCAUGAAGUAUCUAUUUCCACCCAAAGAGGGCGCUAAUGGUCCAACCAAAUCAGCAUGAACAACCUGGUAUGGUUCUGUAGCUUUCCUACUAGACACCUUACCUUUCGCAGCCAUUUUCACCUUGUUUGCUGCGCAUGCUUUGCACUUCAUGUGGUACCUGCAGGGUUUAAUAGUCAUACCUUCAACCAAGGCAGGCAUUUUAGAUACUGCCUCAAAAUGCAAAUGACCAAAUUUUCGAUGAAAAUCGUGAAUACAUUCUGCAUGCAAACUUUUGUUAGAACCUGCAAUGCAACAAGUGUCAUCCUGCACCACAUCAUCAUAAUACAAAACAAACAAAUGAUCAACAUAUUCUGCAUGCAAUACAUAAUCAUUUUUCUUUGUGAUGAUGCACUUCUUGUUCUUGAAGGAAACGUCAAUGUUCCGCUCAUUCAGCUGUCCAACGCUGAGCAGAUUAUGUUUGGCGUCUGGCACGUAAAGCACAUUCUGUAUCGAUAAGUCCAAACUGUGAAGAACAACAGUUCCGUAGCCUUUACUGGGAAUAGUGUGGUCAUCCGCCUGGUGAAUCGCACCUUCCUGCGGUGUAAAAGACACAAACAGUUUCUUAUCGUUGCACAUGUGGUGGGUGGCCGCUGAAUCAACAACGAAGAAAGAUCUAGACGUCUUCUGGACCUCUGCAACCUUUGGAGUGAAGCGUGAAACCAUAGCCUUGUGCUGCGUUGUCCUAGACACCGGACCUUUGCCUUUGCCUCGGCCUUUUCCGCGCGAUGAGCUUUCGCUGCGCUGCUCUGUCUUGGCCCUGGGAUGUCUGCAUUCCCUCUUCAUAUGGCCUAGACGUCCACACGAGUUGCAUUUCACUGCCUUCAAAGCUUUGGCGCCAUCUGGUGGUUCCACUGCACUAUGGGAUGACGUCUGUGAAGACUCCCCCUUGCCCAUGCAGCUAGCACCCCGGCGAUCUGCUUCAUUUAAAAUCACGGCAGUAACAAAGUCCACUGUCAGCUGAGCAGUUGGUUGCACAGCAAUCUGGGUUGCAACAGACUCCCAACCUGAACCCAAAGAUUGUAGUAUCAUGAAAGAAUACACAGCCUCUGGAAAGUUGAGUCCUCUCUGUUGCAGCUCAUGUCUCAGAUUUUGCAUCUCCAUUAGAUGUAAACGCACAUCUCCACCUUCAGCAAGAGCCAUAUUAUGCAGCUUGUUAAAAUAAAACAUAGUGGAUCCAGCUUCUGUCCUUAAGUGAGCCUCUCUCAGAGCGUCCCAAAUUUCUCUGGCUGAGGUCUUAUCACGCAAUAGACAGAGCUCUUCUGGGGAUACUAUCAAUGUAAGAGUUCCCCUUGCUUUGGAAUCCUUAGCUUCCCAUGCAUCUGUAACUGGAACUGGGGGUUCCUGUAAUCACCUCAAACAAACCCUCUUUCCGCAGAAUUGCCUCUGCAUACUGAACCCAGUCGCUGUAAUUUUUCUUGUUGAGCUUAGGAAUCCCACAAGCAUCCUGAAGGGCCAUCAUGACUCUGGCAUUAGCCUUCAGCGUCAUAUGCUGCUUUAAAUCUUGCUGCGUCACUGCUGCAGCUGCUUUAUUACAAAGGCACACUUAAAAGUUACUUCGAUUUCCCCAGCAUAGUGACUUGUGCCUGGGAGCCUUUUGCCUAUUCCCGGCAAAACCGGCUUUAAAAGUUCAAAGUCCAGCCAUAAAGCCAUUAACUUGAAGCUGGCAGGCUGCCCGGAGCAGUAGCACAUACCUCAUCAAUCACUUCUACGCGCAGAGCAGAUUCCUUUCCGAUCCGUCCCUCUGCAUUCCGAUCCUUUGCCGGCACUCCGAUUCGACCUCUGGAGUCCAUAACCACGUGUUGAUUUAGAGCAGAGCCUGUCGUGCCCAGCGGAAGGAUGAGUAAUACGUGCUACAUACUCUAUAUUGCUUUAUUUACAGUUCAAAGCUGGUAUAUUACAGAAAGACAUCUUGCCUCUGCAGGAGCAGAAAAAUGCAUCCUCUCUCCUCAACAGCUCGGAGAGAAUCACACAGUGAAAAACAGGAAACCAGUGUACGUCACAUCCAGUCUCCCUUUCCCGUGAGAAACUCCAACAGUACAGACUGUGGAAUGUAAACACCUUUCUCGUGACAAGCAGAGCUGCACAGUGAAGGAAAGCAGAAACCAACAG